rnacentral:sRNA from 1 species
AUAGUUAACUGUGGAGAAGAAGCCACCUUGUGGAAAGUCCUCCCCUUGUGAAAUCUCUUUGUAUAGAUCUUUGCUGUUGUGUUAUCUCUUUGUACAUAUCUUUGCACUGCUCUUUUUUCAAGCAUAUGUAUAUUAUUGUAUAUUAUUCAUCCGUGUUGGUUUUAUGGAUUGAAGUUUAGAUGGACUCACCAGGUCAUCGCUAAACUUUUCCAUGGGUGGAAGGGCAAAGUCAAUCUACCGUCUUAGGUCAUACCAUGUUUAUAAACUUGUUCCAUGUUUGCGUUAUCCACAUUUUCAUGGAACUUAUUAUAGCAGCCUAAUUGCAUUUUAUGGUAGAAGAAUUCAAUCCUUG